rnacentral:rRNA from 1 species
ACAUGCAAGUCGAACGAUGAAGGAGGAGCUUGCUCCUCCGGAUUAGUGGCGAACGGGUGAGUAAUACGUGAGCAAUGUGCCCUUGACUCUGGGAUAAGCGCUGGAAACGGCGUCUAAUACCGGAUACGACCUUCGGAGGCAUCUCCUGAUGGUGGAAAGAACUUCGGUCAAGGAUCAGCUCACGGCCUAUCAGCUAGUUGGUGAGGUAAUGGCUCACCAAGGCGACGACGGGUAGCCGGCCUGAGAGGGUGACCGGCCACACUGGGACUGAGACACGGCCCAGACUCCUACGGGAGGCAGCAGUGGGGAAUAUUGCACAAUGGGCGCAAGCCUGAUGCAGCAACGCCGCGUGAGGGACGAAGGCCUUCGGGUUGUAAACCUCUUUUAGCAGGGAAGAAGCGAAAGUGACGGUACCUGCAGAAAAAGCACCGGCUAACUACGUGCCAGCAGCCGCGGUAAUACGUAGGGUGCAAGCGUUGUCCGGAAUUAUUGGGCGUAAAGAGCUCGUAGGCGGUUUGUCGCGUCUGCUGUGAAAACCCGAGGCUCAACCUCGGGCUUGCAGUGGGUACGGGCAGACUAGAGUGCGGUAGGGGAGAUUGGAAUUCCUGGUGUAGCGGUGGAAUGCGCAGAUAUCAGGAGGAACACCGAUGGCGAAGGCAGAUCUCUGGGCCGUAACUGACGCUGAGGAGCGAAAGCAUGGGGAGCAAACAGGCUUAGAUACCCUGGUAGUCCAUGCCGUAAACGUUGGGAACUAGAUGUGGGGACCAUUCCACGGUCUCCGUGUCGUA